UACGUAGGUGGCAAGCGUUGUCCGGAUUUACUGGGCGUAAAGAGCGCGCAGGCGGUCGUUCAAGUCGCGUGUGAAAGCCCCCGGCUCAACUGGGGAGGGUCACGCGAUACUGAUCGACUCGAAGGCAGGAGAGGGAAGUGGAAUUCCCGGUGUAGUGGUGAAAUGCGUAGAGAUCGGGAAGAACAUCGGUGGCGAAAGCGCUCUACUGGACCGCAACUGACACUCAGGGACGAAAGCUAGGGGAGCGAAUGGG
rnacentral:rRNA from 1 species